AGAGUUUGAUCCUGGCUCAGGAUGAACGCUAGCGGCAGGCUUAACACAUGCAAGUCGAGGGGCAGCGGGGAGGAAGCUUGCUUUCUCCGCCGGCGACCGGCGCACGGGUGAGUAACACGUAUGCAACCUGCCCCUGUCAGGGGGACAACCCGCCGAAAGGCGGGCUAAACCCGCGUACAUGCCACCGGGGCAUCCCGGAGGCAGGAAAGGCUUCGGCCGGACAGGGAUGGGCAUGCGGCGCAUUAGGCAGUAGGCGGGGUAACGGCCCACCUAACCGACGAUGCGUAGGGGUUCUGAGAGGAAGGUCCCCCACACUGGUACUGAGACACGGACCAGACUCCUACGGGAGGCAGCAGUGAGGAAUAUUGGUCAAUGGUCGGGAGACUGAACCAGCCAAGCCGCGUGAGGGAGGAAGGUACAGAGUAUCAUAAACCUCUUUUGUCAGGGAACAAAGACUGGGACGCGUCCCCGGAUGAGUGUACCUGAAGAAAAAGCAUCGGCUAACUCCGUGCCAGCAGCCGCGGUAAUACGGAGGAUGCGAGCGUUAUCCGGAUUUAUUGGGUUUAAAGGGUGCGCAGGCGGUCUGUUAAGUCAGCGGUCAAAGCCCGGGGCUCAACCCCGGCCCGCCGUUGAAACUGGCAGUCUCGAGUUGGAGAGAAGUAUGCGGAAUGCGCGGUGUAGCGGUGAAAUGCAUAGAUAUCGCGCAGAACUCCGAUUGCGAAGGCAGCAUGCCGGCUCCACACUGACGCUGAGGCACGAAGGCGUGGGUAUCGAACAGGAUUAGAUACCCUGGUAGUCCACGCAGUAAACGAUGAAUGCUGGCUGUCCGGGGGGACUGACCCCUGGGUGGCGAAGCGAAAGCGAUAAGCAUUCCACCUGGGGAGUACGCCGGCAACGGUGAAACUCAAAGGAAUUGACGGGGGCCCGCACAAGCGGAGGAACAUGUGGUUUAAUUCGAUGAUACGCGAGGAACCUUACCCGGGCUCAAACGGGGAGUGGCGCAGGCAGAGACGCCUGUUUCCCACGGGACACUCCCCGAGGUGCUGCAUGGUUGUCGUCAGCUCGUGCCGUGAGGUGUCGGCUUAAGUGCCAUAACGAGCGCAACCCCCGCGUGCAGUUGCUAACAGUCAACGCUGAGGACUCUGCACGGACUGCCGGCGCAAGCCGCGAGGAAGGCGGGGAUGACGUCAAAUCAGCACGGCCCUUACGUCCGGGGCGACACACGUGUUACAAUGGGUGGUACAGCGGGAAGCCAGGCGGCGACGCCGAGCGGAACCCGAAAUCCACUCUCAGUUCGGAUCGGAGUCUGCAACCCGACUCCGUGAAGCUGGAUUCGCUAGUAAUCGCGCAUCAGCCAUGGCGCGGUGAAUACGUUCCCGGGCCUUGUACACACCGCCCGUCAAG
rnacentral:rRNA from 1 species